rnacentral:misc_RNA from 1 species
GAUGAAGAACGUAGCGAAAUGCGAUAAGUAGUGUGAAUUGCAGAAUUCAGUGAAUCAUCGAAUCUUUGAACGCACAUUGCGCCUCCUGGUAUUCCGGGAGGCAUGCCUGUUCGAGCGUCAUUAAAAUCACUCAAGCUUAGGUUUGCCUAUUGCUUGGUCUUGAAGAUGGAAGCUAAGUAAUUAGAAUCCUCUUCGAAAUCCAAUGGCGAAGACCCUUGCUCUCCCAAGUGUAGUAAUAACUUAUUCUCUGAAGGAAGCGAGUAAUCUUCCGCCGUAACCCCCAUAUUUUCUAUGAUUGACCUCGGAUCAGGUAGGGAUACCCGCUGAACUUAAGCAUAUCAAUAAGCGGAGGA